GUGGUCUGAGAGACAGCAGCUGGUGUUUUAGACCCAAAUGGGUUUAGUCUGGUACCAGACUGUUCAUCUCUGACCAAGAAUAACACCUGAGUGAAUCUUUGAUUUACUCAUGCAGUUACAGGUGUGAACAUACUAGCAGUUACCUGAUGUUCAUGUAUGAUGCUGCACACACAU